rnacentral:rRNA from 1 species
CCCGCCCGCCUUCGGGAGGCAGCAGUGGGGAAUAUUGGACAAUGGGCGAAAGCCUGAUCCAGCCAUGCCGCGUGUGUGAAGAAGGUCUUCGGAUUGUAAAGCACUUUAAGUUGGGAGGAAGGGCAGUAAGUUAAUACCUUGCUGUUUUGACGUUACCGACAGAAUAAGCACCGGCUAACUUUGUGCCAGCAGCCGCGGUAAUACAGAGGGUGCAAGCGUUAAUUGGAAUUACUGGGCGUAAAGCGCGCGUAGGUGGUUUGUUAAGUUGGAUGUGAAAUCCCCGGGCUCAACCUGGGAACUGCAUCCAAAACUGGCAAGCUAGAGUACGGUAGAGGGUGGUGGAAUUUCCUGUGUAGCGGUGAAAUGCGUAGAUAUAGGAAGGAACACCAGUGGCGAAGGCGACCACCUGGACUGAUACUGACACUGAGGUGCGAAAGGCGUGGGGAGCAAACAGGAUUAGAUACCCUGGUAGUUCACCGCCGUAAACGAUGUCAACUAGCCGUUGG